rnacentral:lncRNA from 1 species
GCCAUUGUGACUAUAUUGAUAGCAUUAGUAAAAUAUGAUAAGGUCUUUCUUAAAUGUUUUAUGAAAGUACACUAAUACUCCUUUUCUUUUUUUCUCAGGCUAAAGAGGCAGUUAUCAAAGCUGCACAACGUGAUCCUAGAAAUAUUUUCACUCAGUUUUAUAUAUUCAAGAUUUCAAUCGUGGAGGGCAACUCUGGCAGAGCUUUGGAGGCAAUUAUCACUUUAGAGUAUUUAUUAACGACUGAAGAGCAACAUGAGAAUAAUGCAUCUACAAAGAGAAGUUCAGGUGUCAUGCUUUUCAGUUUGGCUGCCCAGUUUGCUUUAGAGAAUGGCCAACAAGUUGUAGCAGUAAAAGCUUUGGAAAAUUUAGCUAAAUAUUCGGAAGAGCCGCCACAAGUUCUUACAGCUUUAAAGUAAGUAAUCCACAUCCUGUGGAUGUAAAAGCAUUUCCUCUAUACAUGUUACUCUUGGUCUAUAAAUUUUGCUGUAAUAGUACUGAUGGCUUCAGG